rnacentral:tRNA from 1 species
GGGCGGUUAGCUCAGUUGGUCAGAGUACUUGCUUGACAUGCAAGGGGUCACUGGUUCAAAUCCAGUACCGCCCA